CUUACUCAACUUGUCAGAUAAUUUAAGAUUAGGAAUCAGAUUUCUGUUAAACAUACGACAAGCAACUUUAUACGCUGAUAGAGGCAUCCCUUUGCUCAAGUAACUUUCCAGAAGCAUGUUACAGGUAUUAGCAUCGUUUCUGGAUGCCGUUUUCAAAACCCUAGACAACAAUUUAUCAGCCUCCUGAAGGCUUCCAAAACUACAAAGCUUUUCAAUAACUUGAUUAUACGCUGUUUUGCAGUUCUGCCUCGAAAGCAUCUUUUCCAAUAAUUUCAACAGAUCUUCCACCUUUCCCAUCUGGCAAUAUCUGUGAAUGACUGUUCUGUAUGUAACAGGUGUUGGAAGCAACCCUUUUUUUAGCAUCUUCAUGGUAAGAUCAGUUGCUUCUUCUAUUCUACCGUUCUUUCCAAGUGCAUCAAUUAUUGCUGUAUAAGUGACUGCAUCAGGAUGCUUGUUACUUAGAUACAUAUCAUCAAGCAAUGACAAAGCAGCCUCCAAGUUAUCCUUUUGACAAUAUCCAUGAAUAAGAGUAGUAAAAUUUACAACGUUAACGGCACACCCUUUAUUCAAACAUUCCUCCAAGAACCUUUUAGCGUCAUUCAUUUUCCCCUCUUGACAUAGUGACUCAAUUAUCAAGUUAAUUUCAACCGGGUUUGGGAAAAAGCCCUUGCUAAUCAUCUCCUUCACUACAUCACACGCCUCAGAUAAUUUUCCUUCCUUACGCAGCCCAUGCAUUACAGCGCUAUAAGUGAUGGCAUUCGGGGUCCAAAACUCUUCCUCGCUACUAGUCAGCAUCUCUCUUGCCUGUAAUGAACUCCCAUUCCGACAAAGGCCGGUUAAUAAAGCUGUG
rnacentral:lncRNA from 1 species